AUGAUUGAUGGCACCACCUCGCCGCGUUCUCCAUCGUCAAGCACGGAGUGCCUCUGCCUGGAUGGACACCCACAAGUAAUUGGCCCUCCUACUGUCACCUGCUCUGCUGCUGUGCUGCAUCUUAUUCUUCCCCAUAGGACGUACUGUAUUUUUCAGAAUUCAGCAAUGGCAAUGAUCAGGGCCACCGCCGUCGUCUUCGCCGCCAGACCGUCGCCGGCUCUAGUAGGUAAGCAAGCUCGUCAUCCAUGGGAAAGAGAUGCAUGUCAUGUUAAGUUGCUAACUAAAACCCGGACGCUGCAGGGCUGCCUCGGCUGA
rnacentral:rRNA from 1 species